rnacentral:lncRNA from 1 species
CCAAGCAAAUACAACAAGAAAAUCUUACAGAAAGAUCCUAGAUGUCUCAACCACAUGUUUGCAGCAGAGAUCUUUAUGCACAAGUUCUUGUUGUCCAGUCAAGUUAGAACUCUUGAUCCCGAGGAAGCUGAUUGGUUCUACACACCUGUUUACACAACUUGUGAUCUAACCCCCAAUGGACUUCCAUUACCCUUCAAAUCCCCACGAAUGAUGCGUAGUGCAAUUCAAUUGAUUUCUUCCCGAUGGCCUUUCUGGAAUCGAACUCAGGGUGCUGAUCACUUCUUUGUUGUUCCUCAUGACUUUGGUGCCUGCUUUCAUUACAAGGUAAGGUUUCACAACCCAUUUACUGUUAUAUUGCAAUUCAUUCCAUUCUAGAUACAAUGAACAUUUUAAUUGCCCACACUUGGUCGAAUCAUGUAAAAUUGCUAUUCUAUAUCCGCCCUUUACCAUCGCUAAGAUUAAGCAUCUGCUGUUUUUUUGUUAACGGUAGUUUUGAUACCACGAUAAAGAUUUAGUAUCUACCACUAUGGUAUUACAUCACAUACAUAGGUAAUUCAAAUAUCUUAUACUAUCUUGAAGGAUUUGUUUUCUAUGGUAAUGAUUAAUCACACCUUGACAAUGAUUAGGCAUCUACCUUUUUUAUGAGUUUGAUAGUUUUGAUACCAUGGUACCAUGCUCAUAAAUCGGGCACUUGACUUUUUUUGAUAUAUAAUAUAGAUAACUUUCAUAUCAUGACAAAGAUAUAGGGUGUUCUUAUACUUGAAUUUGUCUUAUACUAUCUUGAAGGAUUUGUUUUCUAUAAUAAUGAUUAGUCAUACCUUGACAAUGAUUAGGCAUCUACCUUUUUUAUGGGGUAGUUUUGAUACCAUGAUCCAUAGAUCAGGCACUUGAUUUUUUUUGAUAUAUAAUAUAGAUCUUGACAAAGAUUUAGGGUGUUCUUGUAUCUUAUACUAUCUUGAAGGAUUUAUUUUCUAUUGCAAUGUUUAGUCAUACCUUGACAAUGAUUAAGCAUCUACCUUUUUUAUAAAAUAGAUAGUUUUGAUACCAUGAUCCAUGCCCAUAAAUCAGGCACUUGACUUUUUUUUGAUAUAGAUAGCUUUGAUAUCCUUACAAUGUUUAGGCACUUGCCUGUUUUUGAUAUAUAAUAUAGACAACUUUCAUAUCAUGACAAAGAUUUAGGGUGUUCUUGUACAUGAAAUUGUCUUCUAGGAACAAAUAGCCAUUGAGCGAGGAAUUCUUCCAGUACUUGAACGUGCGACGCUUGUUCAGACAUUUGGGCAAAAGAACCAUGUUUGUUUGAGAGAAGGUUCUAUAACAAUUCCACCAUUUGCUCCUCCACAAAAAAUGCAAGCUCACCUCAUUCCGGCAGAUACUCCUCGUUCCAUAUUUGUCUACUUUCGUGGUUUGUUCUACGAUGUUGGUAAUGACCCAGAAGGUGGUUACUAUGCAAGGUAAAAAAAAAAAGAUUACAUCUAUAUGUAUUUGUUGUACUUGUAUUUUGUGUAUUUAUAUUCAUCAUUAUUUGUGGAAUAUGCAUGAUAGAUACGUCUUUCUUUCAAUUUCAGAGGAGCUCGUGCGUCAGUGUGGGAGAAUUUCAAGGACAAUCCACUCUUCGACAUAUCCACGGAGCAUCCUUUGACAUACUACGAAGAUAUGCAGCGUGCUAUCUUCUGUUUGUGUCCCCUUGGCUGGGCACCAUGGAGUCCAAGGUUGGUGGAAGGAGUGAUCUUCGGAUGCAUCCCUGUGAUCAUAGCGGAUGACAUUGUACUACCAUUUGCCGAUGCAAUUCCAUGGGAGGAAAUCGGGGUUUUUGUAUCAGAAGAAGAUGUUCCAAAAUUAGAUACGAUAUUAACAUCAAUUUCACCUGAAGUUAUUCUGAGGAAGCAAAGAUUACUUGCGAAUCCCUCAAUGAAACAAGCCAUGUUGUUUCCACAACCAGUGCAACCAGGAGAUGCUUUCCAUCAAAUACUCAACGGACUUGCUCGUAAAUUACCACAUGGCCGCGAUGUUUAUUUGAAACCCGGCGAGAAGAUUUUGAAUUGGACUGCUGGUCCAGUUGGAGAUCUCAAGCCUUGGUAGCAGAAAUUAGAACACAUUUGUUGCUUGCUUAUUAUUAGUAUAUUUGUUCCUAUAUAUCAUCUAAAAUAUAUAUCACAGUACUCAUUAAACCAGUUGAACUCGUUAAAAAUAUAUCUAAAUAGAGUUUUAGACAGUUAUAGAUGAACAAAAAAUAGUAAAAUACUGUAUAUAUUAUACAAUAAUUUUAAGGAAAACAAUUUGAUAUUGACAAUAAUUCAUCCAAUCAUCAAUUCAUCAUCAUCAUCCAAUGUGCUUUUAAAAUAGAGUUUUCUUUGCCUUUGUUUGAUGCAGGAUAUAAGGUUCAGUUUGAUAAAUGGGUUAUGAGCUUAUGUAAACUUUUAUUAUUAUAACAAAAACAAUUUGAUAAAUCACAAUAUAACAAUGUACCAACAACACCAGCUAGUUUUGGAAGAAAGAAAGAACACGAUGCACUAAAUUAACUUGACACCACCAUUCCUAACAUUAUCAAUGACAGCUUUGACUUUGCCAUGGUAGACUUGAUCUCCAUUUAAGCAGACAGUGACUGCAGGGAUGUUCAAAAGAAGAAGCCUCUCUGCAAGGAGUUUCCCAAUCUUUCCUGCUGCUUCAACAUCUCUGGUAUUCCCCAUAUUUGGUCUCAAAAGUUUUUCCUGUGAACUAGCUGCAGCAGCAACAGUGGCUGUUGGAGUGUGGACUACCUGUGCUUGAACAUAUUUGUUGGUGAAGUGCAUUUUCAAAACAUAUGGCUUAAUGUACUUAACCAGUCUUGCUCGUCUCACUGGAGCGGGAAUCACCAUUUUUCUGAUUUGAAUAUAUAAAAAAAAAAUAUAUCCUACAAAUUCAGAAACGGAUUGACAGUUGUAUAAGCCUGCCGAAGACCUACCGAAAAUUUUCCAUUCUAAUUAUUCUGCUAUCAAAUUUCGAAUCUAGAAAAGAAUUGGUUGAAGGAAUGACGAUAAAAGGUGAUACUGGAGAGGGAGAGAAAUUAAGAACAGACAUUACCUCUGUAAAACGAGAACAAAGCAUUCCCUUUUUUCGCCAAUCUCCAAACGGCAAAACCUAAAAAAAAAGAUGUCCCCUUUCAUCUUCAUCCUUUCAAACACACUACAGGCUACAACUCAACGACAUGGCAAACAGAAAAAAUGGAGAAACACCCAAAAUCUGGGAUUUUACCAUCUACAUUCAAAUCUGGAUGAAGGAUUGAGGGAAGCAAGUAAUGGAAUAUCGGAAAAAAAAUCGAUAAAGAAAUACCUACGUAGAAGAAACGAAAAGAGUCAAGUCCCCUGACUUCGCCGCCAAUGAAAAAUCGCAAAUAGGGUUAAGAUUUCACGGUUGGAACUUGGAAUGACGGAGUUUAUUUAACACGGGAAUAAUUGCAUUUUACCCCUUUACAACACGAGAUAUUAGAAGUAUAUUAAUACUGUAAAAUUACCAUCAUCAAAAGAGUCUCUUCAAUGUCUUUUAAAAGAAACUAUUCCUAGAAAGAUUGGGCAACUAGGGUUUCUCAAACAGGCAUGGGCUCUUAACCAGACUUAGAUUGGGCAAAUUAUAUUCUCUUUAUAGCCUCACGACGAAGUUGAUUAAAAAUCAGAUCACAUCUGAGGAAUCGACCAGAUCGGAAUUCUAGUCGGUCUUAAACUGUGGUCGAUUAUCUUCACUGAGUGUCGUUCCAACUUGGUCGAUCGUCCCUAACCGACUGACUAUCUCAGGAAAGGUUCAUUUUGCUCCCUCGACAGGGGUGAAAUGAUCAAUCUACCUUCCAUAAAUUUUAUAAAUAGUAGAGAAAUCUCUCAUUUUAGACAGAUACCAAGUGUUGUUCAACCUCUUUCAGAGCAAAGAAAUGGAACGUGCGACCAACUGACUGAUAAUGCUUGUUCGUUGUGAAGUCAAACGAUCGACUAAUUAGCACUGAUCAGUCAGUCGAUCAAUCAAUUUGACACUGUUGAGUGCGACCUUCACGACUUUUCGAUUCGUAGAUAUCUCUCUGAGAAUAUCGACGUCUCCCAUCAAGAAUGACUUCGAUAGGGCGGCCAUUUCUGUCAAAUCCUUGGGUGAGAACCUCUAAUGCCCUCCAUUUUUCUGGUGUUUUAUAUACAUCUCUGAAGCAUUUUCUAUAUUCAUGUCCCGAGCAUGAAGGAAACGUUUUAGUGUCGAUUUAUUAUCACCGUCACCACCACCACCGCCAUCGUCUUCUUCGAUCACACAUGUUGUUAAUAUAUCAAAGAAAAUGACGAGAAUCGAUGAUUAUUAUUAAUAAUAAUUACCAGUUUGAUCUAAGAAAUUCUCUCAUAAGUUCUUCCACCCUCAUCCUCUCAUCUUUUUUCCUUCAUUAAAGAUCUCAGAAAUUAUGUGAUAAUCAGGGUUUCUAAUUCAAAAAUUCUAAAAAAAAGACAAAAUGACGCUUUGGCCGAGUGGUUAAGGCGUGUGCCUGCUAAGUACAUGGGGUUUCCCCGCGAGAGUUUGAAUCUCUCAGGCGUCGUUUAUUUUUCUAUUCUGGUUAUUACUAUUAUAAAAAAAAAAUUUAAGUUGAGGAUCGUUAAAGUUAGGUAAACGAAUCUCAGGGGUUUAUUAAUCUAUUCUGACUGUAAAAAAAAAUCUUAAGUUUGGUUCAUUAAAGUUACGAACUAAACUCAAAUCCAUUAGCGAACUCCUCUCACUCCAAGGUCAAGGCCUUGAGCGUGUAGUAAUAAAGUCAAAAAUAACACACAAUUCCUCGAACAUGAUGUAGAAUCAUAUACAAUGUUCACAUUUUUUAUAAUUUCUCUGUUUCAAACAUAUAUAUUACUUGGCGAAUGCGAAUAGGAUUUCUAAGAUCGACAUUAAAGGCGAUUGCGAAUACUAGAGAUGAGUACAGGGCAGACCGAAGCUAAAUCAGUUUUUUUUUAUGAAUAUACCUGUCUCCAGCCCCGUCUUGAAAAAAAAGAUUUUGCCCAAGUUUUGACACUAUUCUUACACCAACCUCCUCAAUAGGGGUGUAAAUGGGUCAGGUCUGGACUGGUUGACUCAGACCCAGACCCAUGAAAUUGAUCCGGGUCUAGGCCGAAUAGGGACUUUUUUUAGUCUAAGAUUAAUGUUUAUAUAAGUUGAAACUUAAAACUUUAAAGAUCUUUGAUAUUUUUAUAUUUAAACCCUAAAGUUAAAGAUUGUAAAGAUUAAAAAUUAUAAUACGUAUUUUUAUAAUUAAAACUUUAAACUAUACUAAAUUAGUAAUAUAUUAUAAUUUUCGGUCUGGGUCCAGUCGGGUUUGGACCUGGACCCAGACUAUUAACUGCCCGGGUGGACCUAGACCCGGACCUCCAGAUCUAAAACAUUUAAUGAGGUUAAAAUUAGCCCUAGACCCAAACGACCAGGUUCAGGUCCGACCCGGACCCAUUUACAUCCCUAUUUCUCAACCACUGCAUAAGGUUAAGAGAACAUUUGUUCUUUGUAUCUGGCAAGGUAUCAAAAUUAAGUUCAAAACUUGUCAUUACAACUAUUAUGACAAUUGACAAUGAUUUUUGCCCUUUAAGAAUUAAAAAAUUACUAAUAUUUUAUUUUAUUAGAUUACAAAUAUCAUAAUUAAGAAUAAAACAUAUCUUAUAACUAUAAGACAUGUUUUUUCAAUAAAUAAAAUAUAGAGAAUUUUAAAUGUAUCAUACUUUUCUAUAAAAAUAUAUAUUUUCAGAUAAUAUAAGAGAAUCAUGUAAUAUAUUAUUAGGAAAAUCGUAGUUUUUUUUGAAACAAUUAAAUUUGAUUAAAAAUAUAAGGUUAAUGUCCAGUUUAUAAAAAAUAGAAUAUAAAAAUAAAAACAGAAGUAAAAAUAAAAAUAAGAAAAAAAGUUCAUUGACUUUUUUCCAUUAGCUAUAUAGUCUAUUUAUAUAAUAACUAGAUACAUGAAAUGUCACAUCAAGACUAAUUUUAAAAUGUAACGUAUAAAUCUCUACAUUUUAAAAUUUUCAAAUACAGUUGUAUUUUGUUUGUAAACAGACAAUUGCCAAUAACUAGUAUUGUAUUUUGUUUCAUUUUAAAAUUUUGAUAUAGACAGACAAUUUUACAAAUAAUUUAAUUUCCAACUAACUAUACAAGAAAGCCACUCCUUAAUUUUUAGUUUGUACACUUCAAUGCUGGUAAUGUUAUUUUUUUGGCACUCAUGGCCCAUGGGCCCAUGGCAGGUGUUAAAUUAUUUUGCUAUAUUAUUUUAAUAUAUUUUCAAAAAAAAUUGUUGUCAAUUUAUUCUGAAUAUUAAAUAAUAUAUUCUAACCUUUUUUUUUUCCAGUUUGUAAACAGAAUAAAUAAUUUAAUAUUAACAUCAACACCAUAAUUAAAAUUUUAAAAAAUAAUUUCUUUUGGUGGUGUUAGUUAGUUGACAUACUUACCACAUGAUCUUAUAAUAAAGACAAACUUAAGAAUACAAAUGGAUUUUUUAAAAUAACUGGGAUCAAUAAGGUUUCAGUGCGUUCAUCGAUCUCAGCUUUUCAUUUCAAAUGAAUGAUCUGACAAAAUUGAUAAAAAUAAUUUGAAACGAUAUCUGAUUUACCAAAAUAAAUAAGACAAAAGGUUAAGAUUAAUAUCGGUAAUCGGAAUCAGCAAAUUCUUGUUGACGACAACACUACUGACGUUGACAUAUUGGCGACCAGACAGUCAGACGACCAGGCCGCCAGACCAUCAGAAUUAACCGUCAUAAAAAUACUAUUUUUUUUUUGUAGUGGAUGAACGCACUGAAUCUUAUCGAAUUCAGUACAUGGAUAUUUCCCAUGUUCAAUAAAAUUUAACAUAUUUUUUUAUUCACAAAGUAAGAUUAACUUAACUAAUUACAAUAAUUAUUAACAAAAGUUGAGAAUUUAGGAUUAUAAUGAUGUUGUAUAAUCGUACAAUUCAGUACUUUUAGUUGUUUAUUUAAGUGUUUUUUUAUUAUAAUUUUGUAAUUAUUUCUUUAUCUUAUUUUUAAUCGUCUUUAAGAAAAAUAAAAUUACCGUUUGAUAAAAGAAAAAUGAAUUUUUAGUUUUUCUACAUUUUUAUUUGGGUAAUCGGAUCCGGGCAUCAGAAGUCAGAAAUUGGUACUUUGGUACAAAACCGUUGUUUGAAUCAGAUCGGACGUUUUUUGCAUCACCGCCGCUUGAUCCAACCGGCCGGGCAUAGUUCCAGCCGGUGGAUUGAUUGCAACAGUUGAUUUUUCAUUUGUUGUGUGAUUUCGACAUCCCAUCCGACAAAUCUAAAAGGGCGAAAGAAAAAAAUCGAAACCUUAAUUUCACAAUCGUCAUCUAUUCAUCUUUCCUGAAAACUACCCUUCUCCUCUAUUUACUUAAACAAACCAACCACCGCAAUUCACCGACGGGCCACCUAUUUAUUGCCUUUCCGAUCUUCCACGAUUUUGUUUUAUACACGCUAAUAUUUGAUUUUUUUUGUUUUUGAUUAUUUUACCUCGGGUUGGAGGAACAUGGAAGGUUGGGUUUGGGUUUGUUGGGUCAUCUCUUGCUUGCUUCUUCUUUCCAUUUCGAGCUCCGGCGAGAGUACUGACCAUAAUCGGCGCACUGAGAGGAUUUCAGGUACGGUCAUCAGAGUAUCAGACAUUUUAUCCGCGUCUCAUUUGCCCACCCUUAAAUUAUGAUUAAUGGGUUUUUCCAGGAAGUGCCGGAGAUGUUCUGGAAGACGAUCCAGUUGGAAGAUUGAAGGUUUUCAUAUACGAUUUGCCAAGCAAAUACAACAAGAAAAUCUUACAGAAAGAUCCUAGAUGUCUCAACCACAUGUUUGCAGCAGAGAUCUUUAUGCACAGGUUCUUGUUGUCCAGUCAAGUUAGAACUCUUGAUCCCGAGGAAGCUGAUUGGUUCUACACACCUGUUUACACAACUUGUGAUUUAACCCCCAAUGGCCUUCCAUUACCCUUCAAAUCCCCACGAAUGAUGCGCAGUGCAAUCCAGUUAAUUUCUUCCCGAUGGCCUUUCUGGAAUCGAACUCAGGGUGCUGAUCACUUCUUUGUUGUUCCU